UACGUAGGGGGCAAGCGUUGUCCGGAUUUAUUGGGCGUAAAGAGCUCGUAGGCGGCUAUCUGCGUCGGAUGUGAAAGCUCAGGGCUCAACUCUGAGAGGCCAUUCGAUACGGGAUAGCUAGAGGUAGGUAGGGGAAAGUGGAAUUCCUGGUGUAGCGGUGAAAUGCGCAGAUAUCAGGAGGAACACCGGUGGCGAAGGCGGCUUUCUGGGCCUUACCUGACGCUGAGGAGCGAAAGCUGGGGGAGCAAACAGG
rnacentral:rRNA from 1 species